rnacentral:lncRNA from 1 species
CAAACAGGAAAAGAGCCAGAAGAGCAGAGUUCCCAGCAGAGGGGAAGCAAGUGGAGAGGCGGUGUGGAGGAAUCAAUUUGGCCCCAUCUGGAAUGGACAGAAGGCUAGAACCUGCAGUGCAGUGAGUGUGGGAGAAACCAGCUGGCACAAGGUGCUGUAAACUGCAAACCAUAAUCCUGUCUUAAUACUGCAAACAAAUCAUAGUGGAACUAAGGGGAACUUAAUUUACUGUUUCCAGGUUAACUAAGGUCUCAGCUGUAAACCAAAAGUGAGAGGAGACAUUAAGAUUUUCAUUCUUACCGGGUUGUCUUCUUCCUGAAGAGCAAUGGAGCCGCUUUUACUUGGAAGAGGACUAAUCGUAUAUCUAAUGUUCCUCCUGUUAAAAUUCUCAAAAGCAAUUGAAAUACCAUCUUCAGUUCAACAGGUUCCAACAAUCAUAAAACAGUCAAAAGUCCAAGUUGCCUUUCCCUUCGAUGAGUAUUUUCAAAUUGAAUGUGAAGCUAAAGGAAAUCCAGAACCAACAUUUUCGUGGACUAAGGAUGGCAACCCUUUUUAUUUCACUGACCAUCGGAUAAUUCCAUCGAACAAUUCAGGAACAUUCAGGAUCCCAAACGAGGGGCACAUAUCUCACUUUCAAGGGAAAUACCGCUGCUUUGCUUCAAAUAAACUGGGAAUCGCUAUGUCAGAAGAAAUAGAAUUUAUAGUUCCAAGUGUUCCAAAAUUCCC